UACGGGGGGAGCAAGCGUUGUUCGGAUUUACUGGGCGUAAAGGGCGCGUAGGCGGUCACGACAAGUCAGUUGUGAAAUCUCCGGGCUUAACUCGGAACGGUCAACUGAUACUGUCGGACUAGAGUGCAGAAGGGGCAACUGGAAUUCUCGGUGUAGCGGUGAAAUGCGUAGAGAUGUGGAGGAACACCGAUGGCGAAGGCAGCCUCCUGGGCCAAUACUGACGCUCAUGCACGAAAGCGUGGGGAGCAAACAGG
rnacentral:rRNA from 1 species